AACUUUUAACGACGGAUCUCUUGGUUCUCGCAUCGAUGAAGAACGUAGCAAAGUGCGAUAACUAGUGUGAAUUGCAUAUUCAGUGAAUCAUCGAGUCUUUGAACGCAUCUUGCGGUCGUUGGUAUUCCAACGACCACGCCUGUUUCAGUA
rnacentral:rRNA from 1 species